rnacentral:lncRNA from 1 species
GCUGAUUCUUGUCACAUUUGAAAGAAAUUAAAACCCAAGGACCAAUGUGUAAAUGGCGCUGAGAUGCAGGGGUUCAAUUACAAUUUAUCCAAGGACUGGACUGCAAAAGUUCAAAAUGUGAAGGAUCAAAACACAAAAAAAGGGUGCCGUUUCUCAACACUGUUCAUCUUCUUCGGCGCCUCAGCUGCCCACCGCCACCAUUACUCCUGCAAUAACAGUCGAUUUAUUACCUGGUAACGGUGGAAUUCUGUGGCUAUAAAGCCAGAGAAAACAAAGAACGCGCGAGAAAAAGGGAGGAAAAAGCGACGAACGGGAGGAAAAAGGGAAAAACUGUGAGCGACCGAAAAUGGGCGGAAAAAAAUCCAGGAGACAGAGAGGGGGGGAAGACAAAAGAAACCACAGAAGCGGAGAAGAAAGAAACCAAGGAAAAACUGGGAAAAGAAGCUGAAACCCAGACGGAAAAAAAACCAG